CAAUGUGUCAUAUUAGAACUGUCCUCUUCACCCUUGACUUACCCUGAGGGUGUGUUUGUAAUCCUCACCAUAGAACCACUUGCUUAUUGCUUUUGAAAUAGCUCUUUGAAAGGCUGGUUUGCAAAUGUACUCUUGUAUUCGUGAGGGGAUGUUUCCCUGGAAUAAUGAGAAAUCUCUCUGUCCUGCCUUUAUAGAAAAAAAAUGCAUCCGCUCCCGAUUCGUUCAAGUAGGAGAAGCUUGGAACUGCACAAAACUUGCCUUUCUGAGGCUCACGGGGACUAUAAACGUAAGACUCCAUCAGAAGCUAACAGCAGCAGGAAAUGGCAAGGUGAGUUACAGGGGUGUGGGAGAGGCUGAGACCAGAUUGUUAGGCAGUUAGGAAUUGUGAUGUUUCUUCAAGAGCAAAUGAAGUUGUGAAAAAAAGUUGUGACUGGUGUACCAAAAAUUUUUGGGGAGAGGGAGAGAGAGAGAUUCCCUUGAUUCCCCAACAGCUUGGAGCUGGCCAGAUACUAGAGAGGGUAGCCUUCCAAGUGAGGGUCUGAAUGUAAAUGUCAUACCAGCUUGGAGCAGGAGUUCCUGGACAAAGCCUACUUAGCCCUGGUUGGCAAGGGUAUUUGGGAGUUGUCGAGAGCAUCAGGACUGUGAGAAGGAUCAAAGAACAACACGCAGAACGGGCAGUUCUGGAGAAUGACUGGGCUGAUGAGAAAUAUGUGAAUGAAAAGACUAAAGGGGAGCACAACCACUUCCUGGCUGUUUAAGUUUUCCUUCCUUCCUUCCUUCCUUCUUCCUUCCUUUGGUUUUUCGAGAC
rnacentral:lncRNA from 1 species